rnacentral:rRNA from 1 species
AGUGAACGCUGGCGGUAGGCCUAACACAUGCAAGUCGAACGGCAGCACAGGAGAGCUUGCUCUCUGGGUGGCGAGUGGCGGACGGGUGAGGAAUACAUCGGAAUCUACUCUGUCGUGGGGGAUAACGUAGGGAAACUUACGCUAAUACCGCAUACGACCUACGGGUGAAAGCAGGGGACCUUCGGGCCUUGCGCGAUUGAAUGAGCCGAUGUCGGAUUAGCUAGUUGGCGGGGUAAAGGCCCACCAAGGCGACGAUCCGUAGCUGGUCUGAGAGGAUGAGCAGCCAACCUAGACCGGUGGCACGGUCCGGACUCCUACGGGGGGCAGCAGUGGGGAAUAGUGGACAAUGGGCUCAAGCCUGAUCCAGCCAUACCGCGUGGGUGAAGAAGGCCUUCGUGUUGUAAAGCCCUUUUGUUGGGAAAGAAAUCCAGCUGGCUAAUACCCGGUUGGGAUGACGGUACCCAAAGAAUAAGCACCGGCUAACUUCGUGCCAGCCGCCGCCGUAA